rnacentral:rRNA from 1 species
AUUGAACGCUGGCGGAAUGCUUUACACAUGCAAGUCGAACGGUAGAGGGGGCAACCCCUCGAGAGUGGCGAACGGGUGAGUAAUAUAUCGGAACGUGCCCAGUCGUGGGGGAUAACGUAGCGAAAGUUACGCUAAUACCGCAUACGAUCUAAGGAUGAAAGCGGGGGAUCGCAAGACCCCGCGCGAUUGGAGCGGCCGAUAUCAGGUUAGGUAGUUGGUGGGGUAAAGGCUCACCAAGCCAACGAUCUGUAGCUGGUCUGAGAGAACGACCGGCACCACUGAAAAGGAGACACGGUCCAGACUCCUACGGGAGGCAGCAGUGGGGAAUUUUGGACAAUGGACGCAAGUCUGAUCCAGCCAUUCCGCGUGCAGGAUGAAGGCCAUCGGGUUGUAAACUGCUUUUGUACGGAACGAAAAGGUCUCUCUUAAUACGGGGGACUCAUGACGGUACCGUAAGAAUAAGCACCGGCUAACUACGUGCCAGCCGCCGCGGUAA